rnacentral:lncRNA from 1 species
ACAAUAAGCGAUCUUCAUCCGGACUUCUACAAGAAUCAGACUCCGUCUGAACUUCUAUAGCGGAUGGAUUCCAGACAAACUUCUACAACAGACGGGCUCCAACAGUCAGAUUUCUACAAUGACCGACCGUCUCUAGUGUCUUCCAUACCUCUCCAGCCAUCAACCUUUAAUAGCACCAGUCGGACUUCAACAGUGCCAGCUGAACUUCAACAAUGCCAAUCGGACUUCCACAGGAUCCUCCAAACUCCUCCAGCAGACGAACUUCCACAACGCCUUUCGGACUCUUCUAUCGGCCGACCUUCAGCC